UGUUAGAGAUUUUUGAUAAUUACAACAAGUCAACUGUAGAGUGACACUUAAACUUUUCAAUUUUUCAAUUUUAUUUUUACUUUUUGUUAGUUUUUAUUUUUGAAUUUCAUUUUUAUUUUUUAAUUUUAAGUUAUUUUAUUUUUUAAAUUUAAGUAUUUUAUUUUAUCUCUACUUUUAUAAUGGUAUGUUUGGUGCGAUGCUACUAAGGUAUUGUUUGUUUGUUUAUGCAAGGUAUUGAAUCAACACUUAUACCAAUCGACCCAUAAAUUGAAAGAACAUGUGUAAUUUGUUGGGAAAAAAGAGAGGCAUUGCA
rnacentral:lncRNA from 1 species